rnacentral:lncRNA from 1 species
GCACAGAUGGCCUCAUCUGGGUGGUGGACAGCGCUGACCGCCAGCGCAUGCAGGACUGUCAGCGAGAGCUGCAGAGUCUACUGGUGGAGGAGGUGUGCCCUGUGCUCACUGGCAGCCAGGCCACAGCCUGCCACAAGUGCCAUGGUUUACUGGGACACUCAGGGAGGGAGCGCCUGGCUGGAGCGACCCUCCUCAUCUUUGCCAACAAGCAGGACCUGCCUGGAGCACUGUCCUGUAAUGCUAUUCAGGAGGCCCUAGAGCUGGACUCCAUCCGCAGCCACCACUGGCGCAUCCAAGGCUGCAGUGCCGUCACAGGGGAGGACCUGCUGCCUGGCAUCGACUGGCUCCUCGAUGACAUUUCCAGUCGUGUCUUUACUGCCGACUGAGCUUCUUCAGUGUCCCAGCUCACUGUCUAGGUCCCUGUCCUCAUCCGACACCAGCCGGAGGGAUAAGCACCAGCUGGCCAGACUAACAUUCCCAACCCCACCGUGACCUGCUGCUGCUACUGCUGCCCACUGCUGCUCCCUCGGAGGAGGGCUGUCACCCAUCUCCCAAAGUGGCCUGCAGCCGCCAUGCCAAAAGGAAAGACUGGGCUGGGAGGGACUGCCUGCUGCUGCCAGGAUCCUGGGUGUCCUCCUCACCUGUCCAGCAGUGAGAAUAAAGUCCUCCUCACCC